AACACAGCGGGGAAAGAAGACCCUGUUGAGCUUGACUCUAGUCCGACUCUAUGAAGAGUCAUGAGAGGUGUAGGAUAAGUGGGAGGCCUUGACCGACAGUGAAAUACCACUACCUUCAUCGAUUCUUUACUUAUUCGGUAGGACGAGAUUUGAGCCUAUCCGGCUCUUCAUUCUGGUGUUAAGUGCACGACUCGGUGGCGGCUCGACUCGCGCCGAAGGCAGUGUCAGGCGGAGAGUUUGGUUGGGCGGUACAUCUGUCAAAUCGUAACGCAGGUGUCCUAAGGCUAGCUCAAGAGGACGGAAACUUCUCGUAGAGCAAAAGGGCUAAAGCUCGCUUGAUCUUGAUUUCCAGUACGAAUACAGACCGCGAAAGCGUGGCCUAUCGAUCCAUUUGAAUUAGAAGGUCUCUAGCAAGAGGUGUCAGAAAAGUUACCACAGGGAUAACUGGCUUGUGACAGCCAAGCAUCCAUAGCGACGUUGCUUUAUGAUCUUUCGAUGUCGGCUCUUCCUAUCAUUGUGAAGCAGGAUUCGCCAAGCGUUGGACUGUUCACCCACCAAUAGGGAACGUGAGCUGGGUUUAGACCGUUGUGAGACAGGUUAGUUUUACCCUACUGUGACUCGUUGUUGCGAUAGUAAUCCCGCUUAGUACGAGAGGAACCGCAGGUUCAGACAUUUGGUUCAUGUGCUUGGCCGAUUGGCCAAUGGUACGAAGCUACCAUCUGAGCGAUUAUGAAUGAACGCCUCUAACUCAGAAUUCCGCCUAGUCAGGGCAACGAUAAAUUUGCUCCUUGGUGUCGGGAGGCACUUCUGUGUAACUUUUCUUACAGCUAAUGCCCUCUUAGAUGGCCUUGCCAAGCUGCUGAAAGCUAGCUUGUUUGCCAAAACCGGACUACACGGUGCAACGUCGGGGCGCAAAAUCACUUGCGGACGACUUGUUUACUGGUCAAGGUGUUGUAUUCAGUAGAGCAGCCUCCAUACUGCGAUCUGUUGAGACUUAUCCUUUGACUGGACGUUUU
rnacentral:ncRNA from 1 species